UCCUGGCUCAGGACGAACGCUGGCGGCGUGCUUAACACAUGCAAGUCGAGCGAACAAAGCUCCUUCGGGAGUGGAGUUAGCGGCGGACGGGUGAGUAACACGUGGGUAACCUGCCUUAUAGAGGGGGAUAGCCUUCCGAAAGGAAGAUUAAUACCGCAUAAGAAGUAGAAGUCGCAUGGCUUUAGCUUUAAAGGAGCAAUCCGCUAUAAGAUGGACCCGCGGCGCAUUAGCUAGUUGGUGAGGUAACGGCUCACCAAGGCGACGAUGCGUAGCCGACCUGAGAGGGUGAUCGGCCACAUUGGAACUGAGACACGGUCCAGACUCCUACGGGAGGCAGCAGUGGGGAAUAUUGCACAAUGGGCGAAAGCCUGAUGCAGCAACGCCGCGUGGGUGAUGAAGGUUUUCGGAUCGUAAAGCCCUGUCUUUUGGGACGAUAAUGACGGUACCAAAGGAGGAAGCCACGGCUAACUACGUG
rnacentral:rRNA from 1 species